UUGGGAAUCUUGCACAAUGGGGGCAACCCUGAUGCAGCGACGCCGCGUGGAGGAUGACGGAUCUAGGUCUGUAAACUCCUUUUUCACGGAAAGACUUAGGACGGUACCGUGAGAAUAAGCUCCGGCUAACUACGUGCCAGCAGCCGCGGUAAUACGUAGGGAGCAAGCGUUGUCCGGAUUUACUGGGCGUAAAGGGCGCGUAGGCGGUUUGUUAAGUUGGAUGUGAAAUCCCCGGGCUCAACCUGGGAACUGCAUUCAAAACUGACAAGCUAGAGUAUGGUAGAGGGUGGUGGAAUUUCCUGUGUAGCGGUGAAAUGCGUAGAUAUAGGAAGGAACACCAGUGGCGAAGGCGACCACCUGGACUGAUACUGACACUGAGGUGCGAAAGCGUGGGGAGCAAACAGGAUUAGAUACCCUCGUAGUCCCUGAGCGGGCUGGCAAGGCGCAU
rnacentral:rRNA from 1 species